rnacentral:rRNA from 1 species
GAUGAACGCUAGCGGCAGGCUUAACACAUGCAAGUCGAGGGGCAGCACGGGUAGCAAUACUUGGUGGCGACCGGCGCAAGGGUGCGUAACGCGUGAGCAACAUGCCCGCAUCAGGGGGAUAAUCCAUGGAAACGUGGUCUAAUACCCCAUAGUAAGUUUUUGAGGCAUCUCGAAGAUUUUAAAGCUUUGGUGGAUACGGAUUGGCUCGCGUGACAUUAGCUAGAUGGUAAGGUAACGGCUUACCAUGGCUACGAUGUCUAGGGGUUCUGAGAGGAAGGUCCCCCACACUGGAACUGAGACACGGUCCAGACUCCUACGGGAGGCAGCAGUGAGGAAUAUUGGACAAUGGAUGGAAAUCUGAUCCAGCCAUGCCGCGUGCAGGAAGACGGCCCUAUGGGUUGUAAACUGCUUUUGUAUGGGAGCAAUAAGAUCUACGUGUAGAUUGAUGAGAGUACCAUACGAAUAAGCACCGGCUAACUCCGUG